GGGUAGGGGCUCCAGGUUAAUUCCUUAUCGAUGCAGAAUCGUCAGCUCAUUAAUCACAGAAGAGGUCAGAGCUUGGGGGUACAUAGCUCUAUCCCCCAAUCUAGAGCAGCAGCAGCUGUAAGCUUAGGGAAAGACACAAACCCCAAGCCUCUGUCCCUUUCUAGGGGCAGAGGGACCAAAACGACCAUCUCAGCCCCCUUGGCUUUUUUUCUAGUGACCCAACACCCCAGUAAUAGCUACUGCCUAGAUCCCCAGAUGGCCUCAGUAGAAACCCCCAGUUGUCCAAGGUGGAUUCUCACAUCGGGGACUGGAGACGGCACUUCACCAAAUCGUCAUCCCCAAGGCUGCCCACGGUCAGUGAGUAAUCUGCAUCCCAGGUGCUCAAAGCUGCAGGGAACUUAGUCCAAUGGAGAAGCCAGACAAAACAGGCCUGGCCCAGUGAGUGGAACUCAGAAGUCACUGAAACUUAGCUGCAGAGCUAUUUGUAAAAGGCGACACCAGAGGACCAGCCUUCUUGGUUGGGCCUGCAGCGGUCCCCUCCUGUGCCACCACCAAGACACAGCAAAGGGCUUUGGCAUUUAUCUCAAACACAGAGAAGGCAGCCAAGGGACGCCACACCUCCUGGCGGCCUCCUGAAGUUAAGGCCAGCCCCCACCAGCAGUGAUGGUGCAUUCCCAAUUGAGGAAGGUUCGAACAGCUUCUGCUGGGCCUCUGAUCCGCCCCUGGACUUGAAACUCCCUUCUGCUCCACCAGGUUUUACAGGCAUCCGUGGCUUCGCCAACUCAGCCAGCAGGCUCUGUGCAGGCAGGCACUGAGUGCGGCGUGUUUAUCACCGCCCCCUGCCCAGUGCCCAGCCCCGUAGCUGGCCCAUUCAGGCGUGCAGGAGGAACGUGCUGGAAUGAACAUGUGGCUGCAAAGUGAAGGAUGGAUCCAAGGAGAAAGAGCUAGCAUUCUUGCUCCCCAUUGCCCUUUCCAGAGUAAUAAAAGGACCGGCCCCCCCAGCAAGGGCCCCAACGGAUGCUGCCUCACUGGGUCCUGCAACCAUUCUCGGAGUUCGUUACUAUUGUUCCCAUUUUACAGAUGAGAAAACUAAAACAGAGAGAGAGGAAGUUCCUCUCCCCAAGACCAUGCAGCCAGGAAGCGGCAGAGCCAGCAUCCAUCUCUCUGGACCAGCACGGCACCCUGCUCUCACCUCCAGGACCUCACACGCGCUCCCUCGUGGGGAGCCCCCUGGCCAGUGUGCUGAAGCUCCAUGUUUAUGGCUUGGCUAAUGCCCACCCCACCUCCUGAGUCAGCUCACUGUUCACUUCCAGGAAGCCUCCCCUGAAGCCUCCCGCAACCCCUUCUCAUCCCCCACUCCCAAUCGCCAGACUGGGUUAGACGCCCCUCGGCCGUACCGCCACGGGGCCCACCAUCACCAUGUCUACGCUUGCCAUACUGCCGGGCAGUGUCCGUUAGGAACAGGGAGGAGGCUGCUGUAACAUGCAAGGCAAGAGAAGGCAAAGGCCUGAACCCCAACAGUGGAAGACAGGUAGG